AAUAAUAAGUGCUGCUGUGAAGAGAACAAUUCUCACACUGAAUGUUGAACAGCAGCUGCUUUCUCCUGUUGCUUUAAACCUUGUUGUACAGAUGGAACUUUGGCUGUGGAUUAUUCUUGCUGCUCUUUUCUUUGAGUGUAAAGGACAAGACAAAGUGAACCAGCCAACAGAGGAUGUCAUUGCUACUGAAGGAGACUCAGUUACACUUGGAUGUACAUUUGAGACAAGUGACAGAAAUCCAUAUCUCUACUGGUACAAACAGGAAGCAAACGGUUAUCCAAAGUACAUGCUGAGAUGUUUCUCUAAAACAGUCGAUCAUGCUCCAGAGUUUGAAAAGGACAGAUUUAAUGCUACAAUUGAGAACAAGUCGGUUCCUCUGAAGAUCCAGAAGCUUCAGCUGUCUGACUCUGCUGUGUACUACUGUGCUCUGCAGCCCACAGUGACAGGAAACACCAAAACUCUGUACAAAAACCUUUGGAGCAAAGACAACAGAAUACUCCACAACAUCCACUAGAGGGAGUCACACACUGUUACACUGCAGUGGGAUGUGAUGGUAAAGUCUGGAGUCACUCCUAUCUGAGACAGGAUUGUGAUGUGAAGUUUGAAAAAUUAAACAAAUUUCAGAUUCUCUCUUUAA